UACGGGAGGCAGCAGUGGGGAAUAUUGCACAAUGGGCGAAAGCCUGAUGCAGCUAUGCCGCGUGUAUGAAGAAGGCCUUAGGGUUGUAAAGUACUUUCAUCGGGGAGGAAAAAACAAAACUAAUAAUUUUAUUUCUUGACGUUACCCGAAAAAGAAGCACCGGCUAACUCCGUGCCAGCAGCCGCGGUAAUACGGAGGGUGCAAGCGUUAAUCAGAAUUACUGGGCGUAAAGAGCGCGUAGGUGGUUUUUUUAAAGUCAGAUGUGAAAUCCCUAGGCUUUAACCUAGGAACUGCAUUUUGAAACUGAAAAACUAGAGUAUCGUAGAGGGAGGUAGAAUUCUAGGUGUAGCGGUGAAAUGCGUAGAUAUCUGGAGGAAUACCUGUGGCGAAAGCGGCCUCCUAAACGAAUACUGACACUGAGGGUGCGAAAGCGUGGGGAGCAAACAGGGAUUAGAUACC
rnacentral:rRNA from 1 species